rnacentral:rRNA from 1 species
GACGAACGCUGGCGGCGUGCCUAAUACAUGCCAGUUGAGCGCUGAAGGUUGGUACUUGUACCAACUGGAUGAGCAGCGAACGGGUGAGUAACGCGUGGGGAAUCUGCCUUUGAGCGGGGGACAACAUUUGGAAACGAAUGCUAAUACCGCGUAAAAACUUUAAACACAAGUUUUAAGUUUGAAAGAUGCAAUUGCAUCACUCAAAGAUGAUCCCGCGUUGUAUUAGCUAGUUGGUGAGGUAAAGGCUCACCAAGGCGAUGAUACAUAGCCGACCUGAGAGGGUGAUCGGCCACAUUGGGACUGAGACACGGCCCAAACUCCUACGGGAGGCAGCAGUAGGGAAUCUUCGGCAAUGGACGAAAGUCCGACCGAGCAACGCCGCGUGAGUGAAGAAGGUUUUCGGAUCGUAAAACUCUGUUGGUAGAGAAGAACGUUGGUGAGAGUGGAAAGCUCAUCAAGUGACGGUAACUACCCAGAAAGGGACGGCUAACUACGUG